rnacentral:snoRNA from 1 species
AACCCAUGAUGAGGACAUCAUCUGAGUAAAUCCUUGUACCUUUCCUAAGCCUUAUACAAUAACUCUAUAUCUAGUUGCAUGAAUGAUGUGAUGUCAUUUCUCAUCUU